rnacentral:rRNA from 1 species
CCUACGGGAGGCUGCAGUGAGGAAUAUUGGUCAAUGGACGCAAGUCUGAACCAGCCAUGCAGCGUGCAGGAUGACGGCCCUAUGAGUUGUAAACUUCUUUUGUAUGAGGGUAAACCCCGAUACGUGUACCGUGUUGAAAGUAUCGUACGAAUAAGGAUCGGCUAACUCCGUGCCAGCAGCCGCGGUAAUACGGAGGAUCCGAGCGUUAUCCGGAUUUAUUGGGUUGAAAGGGUGCGUAGGCGGUUUGAUAAGUUAGAUGUGAAAUGUCGGGGCUCAACCCCGAAACUGCCUCUAAUACUGUUGGCCUAGAGAGUAGUUGCGGUAGGCGGAAUGUAUGGUGUAGCGGUGAAAUGCUUAGAGAUCAUACAGAACACCGAGUGCGAAGGCAGCUUACCAAACUAUAUCUGACGUUGAGGCACGAAAGCGUGGGUAGCAAACAGGAUUAGAUACCCCAGUAGUC